UGGCCCUGAGCGAUAAACAUGCAAAAGCACAGUGGGUUUAGCUGCUGCACCAACCAAAAGAAUCUGGAGUAGGAUUCCAGGGCAUUAAAACCCCUGUAGAGGAAGUUCCAGUAGGCUGUCUCUAGUGUAAAGUAAAGAGAAUGGAAUGAUGACUUUAAGGCGACUGUCAGCCUCUCUGCCAGGCUUACGUCUGGAAUUACAACAUUUAUUUGAAACCCAACGCCACUGCUGAAGCCAUGCAAGUCACCCAUAAUGGGAAAGCUCAUCAGAUCCUUAACGGUGCCCCUGACUGGGCAUAUGAGGAGGAGGUUUUCUCAUCCAAUGAGGCAAUAUGGUGGUCACCAACUGGAAAGUAUCUGUCUGAUGUUGAGUUUAAUGACACAAUCGAGUUAUUUUUGGAUGGAUAUGGACAAUACCCCAAAACGGUGGUUGUCCCAUACCCUAAGGUGGGAUGUUGUAAUAUGGGCCCUUUUUAAAACAUGGUAUGAAUGUCAUAAGAAUGAUAUAUAUACCACAGAUAGCAGGUAAUAGGUCAAAUAUACAGUAUACCAUGAUCACGCAUUAUGUGUGUGUUGUACAUUGUACAGAGUAAAUACAGUAUUUGAAGUAUAUGUACUGUAUCCUGAAAGAAUGCCCCACAUUUUUGUUAUUCGUGUUAUCUCCUGUCAAGGCUGGUUCAACAAAUUCUAAGGCAAAGCUAUUUGUGGUGGACACAACAAAUCCGUCAAGGUGGACACAGGUGGUGGUGCCAGAUUCCUUUGGUGCAGGUGAUCACUAUUUGAGAUCAGUCACAUGGGGUGACAGAUGAGCACGUCGCUGUUCAGUGCACCAGGAGGAAGCAGAACCAUGUCCUUUUACAGAUCUAUGACCUUGACGGAAACAACUGGAAUGAGAACCAGAAAUGUGAACAAGUAAGCAAGACAGGUUGGGUUGACCAGGGCAAGGCAACACCCAUUACCUCAGGCAAAUGGGAGGUCAUCUACAUUUCAGAACUCACCCAAGGCGCUAUGGUUAUGAUCGGAAGGAGCCACUGUGCUCCCCCAGUGCCUCACCUGUGGCCUGUAUCAGGACAGGUGUCAGUACAACUCAGCCUACUUCAGCUACGAUGCCUCUUACUACCGCAUGGACUGCUAUGAACCUGGAACACCUUUGUUCACACUCAGGGACGAUAGAGGCUCAGGUGAAGAGCUCCUGGUUCUUCGUGACAACAAAGAUCUUGAAGACAUGAUAAAAUAAUUCCAAAUGCCGACCAUGCAGUGUGGGACCCUGAGGGUAGCAGAAUUUGAUCUUUGGUAUCAAAUGAUGUUACGCCCUAAUUUCCCCCAAAAAAUAAAAGUACCCUCUUCUAAUUGAUAUAUAUGGAGGCCCCUGUAGUCAGAAGGCAGAUUAUCGCUAAAGACUGAACUGGGGUUCGUACCUCUCCAGUACAGAGGGGAUCAUACUGGCCAGUUUCAAUGGACAGGGAAGCAUCUACCAACGUCUUGGAACAUUGAAGUCAAAUGGUGGCUUUGUCACGUGGAUGGCUUUGGGGGUGUCACGUCUGCUCCUGCUCCUCCCCUACGGCGUUCGACGUCGCCGGUAUACUAACCACCGGUCCUGGGAUCCAUCAUUACGCACACCUGGCAUCAAUCAUUACCUCACUUAUUACCUCCCCUAUAUUUGGCACUCCCUUAGGUUGUUUCCUGAUAGAAGAAUUUGAAUGUUUAAAGGUAAUGACUAAAGUAUUCCACCCAAAAUUAUAUAACUGUGUGAAAUGUGUUAGACUCAAGAAUAUAAUCUGAGAAUGUGUGUAGCUCUGUUAGAAUUCUAGAACUAUGGCAUUAUAUUAUUUUGUAGAUGUGCAAGCAGGGUGCAGCUGCAAAACAGAUAACAGAAAACCAUUAGAGGUCUUCAAACCAAGGGGCCCCAAUGGGGGAGGAGAAGUGAAAGACUUGAAGAAUGUGACAAGAUUGAUAGUUCUUUCUCUAUUCUGUGGUCAGUGGAAAAAUACUGUUUGUUUGAACA